UGCCUANCACAUGCAAGUCGAGCGGACCAAUGCCCAUUUCAGCUUUGCUGAUUUGAGCAACGGUUAGCGGCGGACGGGUGAGUAACGCGUGGGCAACCUGCCCUGUGCAGGGGGAUAACACAGCGAAAGCUGUGCUAAUACCCCAUAAGACUACGCUAUCGCAUGAUAGAGUAGUCAAAGCUUUAGCGGCACAGGAUGGGCCCGCGUCUGAUUAGCUAGUUGGUGGGGUAACGGCCUACCAAGGCGACGAUCAGUAGCCGACCUGAGAGGGUGAUCGGCCACACUGGAACUGAGACACGGUCCAGACUCCUACGGGAGGCAGCAGUGGGGAAUAUUGCACAAUGGGGGAAACCCUGAUGCAGCAACGCCGCGUGAGCGAAGAAGGCCUUCGGGUCGUAAAGCUCUGUCCUAAGGGAAGAAGCAUGACGGUACCUUAGGAGGAAGCCCCGGCUAACUACGUGCCAGCAGCCGCGGUAAUACGUAGGGGGCGAGCGUUAUCCGGAAUCACUGGGCGUAAAGGGUGCGUAGGCGGCCGAGUAAGCCAGAGGUGAAAGGCUACGGCUUAACCGUAGUAAGCCUUUGGAACUACUUGGCUUGAGUGCAGGAGAGGAGAGUGGAAUUCCUAGUGUAGCGGUGAAAUGCGUAGAUAUUAGGAGGAACACCCAGUGGCGAAGGCGACUCUCUGGACUGUAACUGACGCUGAGGCACGAAAGCGUGGGGAGCAAACAGGAUUANAUACCCUGGUAGUCCACGCCGUAAACGAUGAGUGCUAGGUGUCGGGGGUUCACACCCUCGGUGNCGGGAGUUAACGCAAUAAGCACUCCGCCUGGGGAGUACGGUCGCAAGACUGAACUCNAAGGAAUUGACGGGGACCCCACAAGCAGCGGAGCAUG
rnacentral:rRNA from 1 species